rnacentral:rRNA from 1 species
CGGCGGACGGGUGAGUAACACGUGGAUAACCUACCUAUAAGACUGGGAUAACUUCGGGAAACCGGAGCUAAUACCGGAUAAUAUAUUGAACCGCAUGGUUCAAUAGUGAAAGACGGUUUUGCUGUCACUUAUAGAUGGAUCCGCGCCGCAUUAGCUAGUUGGUAAGGUAACGACUUACCAAGGCAACGAUGCGUAGCCGACCUGAGAGGGUGAUCGGCCACACUGGAACUGAGACACGGUCCAG